rnacentral:misc_RNA from 1 species
AACCUAGCACACCUGCGGUGUGUACCUGCGGAAGGAUCAUUAACGAGUUACCACUCUAUAACCCUUUGUGAACAUACCUACAUGCUGCUUCGGCGGUCGGCCCCCCCGGGCCCCCGGCCCCGCUCACGCGGGGCGUCCGCCGGAGGAUAACCAAACUCUGAUUUAACGACGUUUCUUCUGAGUGGCACAAGCAAAUAAUCAAAACUUUCAGCAAUGGAUCU